AUAUAUCGGCUGUAAGGGAGUGCUUUGCGCGCGGGCUAAGUUAAUA
rnacentral:ncRNA from 1 species